rnacentral:lncRNA from 1 species
UUCCAAUGAUUACAAAGUCGUAACGUUUACUGACCGGAUGGAUUCCUCCACGGCGCAGGUUUUCGAAUUCAAAACCGGUUCUUGGAGAGAGAGCUUACGGAUUCCUUAUCCUGAUUGGCAUUACAGAGAGAGAAGAGGUAUAUUCUUUGAUCAACACCUCUAUUGGAUUGCGUACCGGUCUAAUGUUGACCGGUUUAUCCUAAGCUUCAACCUCUCAACCCACGAAUACCUGAAAUUUUUUAUGCUAAAUAUUUAUUAUGCUAAACAUUUAGAUUUUUAUUUUAUUUUUUUUCUAGUAAGCGACAAAAAAACUACUCCCUCUGUUCAGAAUUAUUUGAUGUUUUAGAAGGUUUUUUUUGUUCAAAAUUAUUUGAUGUUCUCACUUUUCAAUACAAAAUUUAAUGAAUUUUUAUAGUUUUUGACCUUUUAUAUUCUGCAGAUUGUUUUCUUAUUGGCUGAAUGAUAUUUAAAUGAAUUAUAAAUAAUAUUUUUAGUAUAGGAAAAAUAAAAAUUAAAUGAAUCCUUAAACUGUGUGCAAAAUCCUUAAACAUCAAAUAAUUCUGAACAGAAGGAGUAUUUAUCAACAUUUAUUUUUGGAAGAUUUCGAAAACUUUAAAGGGAGUUGUUUCCUUUUUUUUUUCUCCUUUUAAAGCGUCACUUCCGCAAAGUUGAAUAUUUAAUUAAAAAUAAAAAUUGCAAUACUCAAUAGACUAAUCACAAGUUAAAUUAAUUUCAAUGUACACAGAUCCAUCCUAUAUCCUAAUCCAUGACUUGAUACAAAAGGGCAUUUCAGUAGUCUCCAAAAUCCUUGAUCCUCUUGGCCAGUUUCCAUAUCCACCAUAACCCGUGUGUCGUGCAAAGCAAAGCCAGAGCUUGUCCUUGUACGGACAGCACCAAUCUAGUCCAUGGUUGUGGCCUACAAUCACUGCCUACGCACCAAACAUAUACUGAAAAUGAGCCAUCACUGUUCCGUCGCUAAAAUAGUUACUUAAAAGCGUUACAUAUAUCACUUGUAAGGAAUCUAAAUGUUUCAUUGUAUAGUGCUUAGUACUUAGUACCUUAACUGAAGAUUUCUUCUCAAGAAGUCUCAUCAUAUUUCAUUCUCGGCUUCUUGAGCAGCAACUUUCUCUUUGUCGAUUGAUCCGGUGCAAGGUUUUGUUAUCCAUAGCCUUGGUUGGAGCUAGCUAUACUUUCUUGUAUGCUUUACUCGGUAUGUGGCAAAAUAUCAACUCCGGGAUCCUGCCCCAAGUGCACAUCUUUCAAUAUCAGAUUAGAGAUAGAUUUUGGUAUCACAGGAAGGUUCGGCUAGUUCAGGUUCAGGGUCUCUGACUGAACAGUCAUCCUUCAGCUUUGGCCUGCCAAACUGCCAAACAAUGGAAAGUUUUUCUCCACACCAAACAAACAAAAAAAAAAGAGAGAGAGAAGGGUUUAAAAUAUAUAAUGUUUUGAUUAUGUACCUUAAAUCAGGAUUAAGAGUAUUAAUUGGACAAGGAACCUUAAAACAUUCCACUUGAGAAUUUGAAAUAACCUCCGGGAAUGAACCACCGCCGGAGUCAAGAAAGUAUAGCAACGCCACGGCUGGUUUCGAAUCAUCCGAUGACUCAAGGAGAAGGACGUAAUUAGAGACACUUGGCAAUAGCUCCUUAGGACCAAUCAUUGAAUAUGAGAGUGCAUUAUUACUAAUGGAUGCUUUUGGUUUCUUCUUGAAUCAAUCCAAGACGCGUCGUUCCUCUAUGAUAUUGCGAUGUAGUGUGCCGUUUACUACAUCUCCCAAGUAUACACACUGAUGAUCGCAUCUCUCUACGUCAACAUGAACUCUCUUGCAUUAAUCACAUCUAAAGACUGACAUGGACAGUUGAAAAGAGGCUAAAACAUCCAAAAAUCAUGUAUUAGAUGAUAAAGAUCGAAAAAGCAAAAAGAAAAAAAAGAAAAAAUACUAGCAGUCAUCUUCUUGUAAUAAUGAAAAAGAGAGAGAUACAAGAAACAAAUAAAAAGUAUUUGGCAAAGGGAACUAGUACUUAAUCAAUAAAAUCUCUUUCUUUCCUUUUGCCCCGUCGGUUGACUUGAAGUUUCACUAAACUGGGAACGUAAGAAUAGAUCAAAAGAGGGUUAUAAUAUCCAGAUUCGUAAACUCCUCUAAAUUUCACAGAUUUGAGAUAUCCACCUUGUCCAAUGAUGUAAGCUGUUUGGUAGUAACUUGUACUAGUCCUUUGAGAUCCGCAGGAAUCGAAAACCACUGCGACUUUCUUCUCCUCGUCGUCGAUGAAGAAGCUCCUAGCAUGAAACAUGUCAGGAAAUCUGUCAGGAGAAGUAACAUUGGGCUCCACAUUCAAAAACUUGCUCCAGGAUACCGCAUUGGGCUUGAUGUCAGUUGUAAUCCAAAUCUCCAUCAUUGAAUUGCGGCGUUGAUACAAAACAGCGAGGUGCUCAUCUCUGACACAAGACAGAGACAUAGCGUGUAAAGACAUAAAAUACGGGUGAGAGGCCGGCAGAGGAAGGCGCGGUCCAAAUCUCUCUGCUGUAAAAUCGAAACAGAGUAAAAAACCUUUAAAUGUUUCUUCACCAGCAAGAAAGUAUGUAUUUCCCUUGAGAGACACGCUGCGUAGUAUUUCAUAACAGUCGGGACUGAGAUCAAGAACUCUCCAUGAAUCAGAGUCAAAUUCGUAGAUUUCGUAAAAGGGCAGGAGGUCUGAGCCCUCACGAACAUCCAAAAACCUCAAAAUUUUGUGAUUACGACUGUUGUUGCUGUUUUUGCCGUAUCCGAGAGCAUACUUGUCUGAUCUAUGGAAUCUGUGGUAUUUGUGUAUGGGUUGGAUCCACCUGGUUUCCCCUAAAUACGGGUUCCACACCACGCGCCACUUGGUGUCCUUGAUGAGGCAUAGCAACAAGCCGUCGCAGUGAAAGACUUGAAAUACAUCGGCUUCGUUAAGUGAUCUUACUUUCAAAUCAGCCGAGUCCCCGUCGUUUUGGAAUUUCAUUGAACAAAGCCGAGAGCCUAUCACCAUGAACCCUAGAAACUGAUCCCUUGUUUUGCCAACAAUCUGAUUUUUUGAUAAUACGUUCCAUGUUUUACAUGUACAUCGCACUGCACUCAGACAUGAUAAUGGAACCUUGAACAAUAUCUCCUCCACCAAAGCUACUGGUAGAUCGGACAUUCUUGUCAUCGCGCUAUGGGUAAAAUAACGUGAAGAGUCUUAAACUUUGUCAUCCUCGCAUCAUCCAAGUCAAACCCAAAAACGAGAGAGAGGGAGAGAGAGAUAUUUUACCCAUAGCGCGAUUUUUCCGCCGUUUGAGACUCUUCACGUUAGUCUUUUCUUCUUAUAUUUUUCCGACAAGGUCUUUUCUUUUCUUUAAACAUAUAAAUAUAUAAGCGUCAAGAAGUUGCAAGAGACUUAGUCAAAAAGUUUCUCUCACCUAACCUUAGCUCACAGAAAAUUUCGUAAAGUCGCAAUUUGAGAAACCACGCUGCUUUGUUAACGACUCCAGCGUAUUCACUGCAGCUUAAUCAAAGUCAGGCACUAAAUGUAAAUUUGAGCUUUAGGCUACUUAAUGAUCAUAAGCAUGCGUUUCUCUUUUCCAAGCCUUUUAUCUAAAAAUGCUUUUGCUAAUAAAGAAAAUUAACUUUAUAUAUGUAAAGUUAGUGAUUACGGAACACGCGGAGUAGGUGUCCAAAAUGUUCUCUUUUAAAUAUUCUAAUCACAUUGCAAACCCACCAAACGUUUUUUUCUACUCUAUUUUGCGCCGUACGCAUCUGCUUCUAUAAGGAACCACCACUAGGCAAAUAACACCAAAAGACAAUCUUUCACCACAAUUCAAAACAAAAGAGAUAAAAAAAAAAUGUCAGAAAUUCUCCCUGAAGAAUUAUCCGUUGAGAUACUCGCGAGGCUGUCGAUGAAGAAUCUGGCUCGAUUCAGAUGCGUCUGCAAGACAUGGAGAGACCUUAUCAACCAACGUGGCUUCGCUGAAAGGUACCGAGACAUUUCUCCGGCCAAGUUCGUGUCGUUUCACGACAAGGGUUUCUACUUGCUUGACGUGGAAGGCAAGAGUCCAGGUAUUACAACACAUGGUAAGCUUGAUUUCUCUUUAGACCAGUCCAUGAUCGACGAAUCCACAUGUGUGCUUCAUUGUGAUGGGACGUUAUGUGUGACUCUAAAGAAUCACACUUUAAUGGUUUGGAAUCCAUCUUCGAAGCAUUUCAAGAUCCUACCAAAUCCCGGUAUAUACCGAGAUUCAAACAUCCUCGGUUUCGGUUAUGAUCUGGUUUCCAAUGAUUACAAAGUCGUAACGUUUAUUGACCGGGUAGAUUCCUCCACGGCGCAGGUUUUCGAAUUCAAAACCGGUUCUUGGAGAGAGAGCUUACGGAUUCCUUAUCCUGAUUGGCAUUACAGAGAGAGAAGAGGUAUAUUCGUUGAUCAACACCUCUAUUGGAUUGCGUACCGGUCUAAUGUUGACCGGUUUAUCCUU